AGAAUCAACGCUGGCGGCGUGCCUAACACAUGCAAGUCGAACGAGAAAGUGGGAGCAAUCCCACGAGUAAAGUGGCGCACGGGUGAGUAACACGUGACUAACCUACCCUUGAGUGGGGGAUAACCUAGGGAAACCUGGGCUAAUACCGCAUAAUACCUACGGGUCAAAGGAGCAAUUCGCUUUAGGAGGGGGUCGCGGCAGAUUAGUUAGUUGGCGGGGUAAUGGCCCACCAAGACAGUGAUCUGUAUCCGGCCUGAGAGGGCGCACGGACACACUGGAACUGAAACACGGUCCAGACUCCUACGGGAGGCAGCAGUGGGGAAUUUGCGCAAUGGGGAAACCCUGACGCAGCAACGCCGCGUGGAGGAUGAAGCCCCUUGGGGCGUAAACUCCUUUCGAUCGGGAAGAUAAUGACGGUACCGGAAGAAGAAGCCCCGGCUAACUUCGUGCCAGCAGCCGC
rnacentral:rRNA from 1 species